rnacentral:rRNA from 1 species
UACGAAGGGGCUAGCGUUGCUCGGAAUCACUGGGCGUAAAGCGCACGUAGGCGGACUUUUAAGUCGGAGGUGAAAUCCUGGAGCUCAACUCCAGAACUGCCUUCGAUACUGAGAGUCUCGAGUCCGGGAGAGGUGAGUGGAACUGCGAGUGUAGAGGUGAAAUUCGUAGAUAUUCGCAAGAACACCAGUGGCGAAGGCGGCUCACUGGCUCGAUACUGACGCUGAGGUGCGAAAGCGUGGGGAGCAAACAGG